rnacentral:rRNA from 1 species
UACGGAGGGUGCAAACGUUAUCCGGAAUCACUGGGCGUAAAGCGCAUGUAGGUGGUUUGGUAAGUGAGCGAUUAAAGACCGAGGCUUAACCUCGGGACUGUUGCUUAAACUGCCUGACUUGAGAAUGGCAGGGGGCAAGUGGAACUUUAGGUGUAGGAGUGAAAUCCGUAGAUAUCUAAAGGAACACCAAUGGCGAAGGCAGCUUGCUGGGCCUUUUCUGACACUGAUAUGCGAAAGCGUGGGGAGCGAACGGG